UACGUAGGGGGCAAGCGUUGUCCGGAAUCAUUGGGCGUAAAGCGCGUGUAGGCGGCCCGGUAAGUCCGCUGUGAAAGUCAAGGGCUCAACCCUUGAAUGCCGGCGGAUACUGUCGGGCUAGAGUCCGGAAGAGGCGAGUGGAAUUCCUGGUGUAGCGGUGAAAUGCGCAGAUAUCAGGAGGAACACCUACGGCGAAGGCAGCUCGCUGGGACGGUACUGACGCUGAGACGCGAAAGCGUGGGGAGCAAACAGG
rnacentral:rRNA from 1 species